rnacentral:tRNA from 1 species
AGUGCCGUAGGCAAAUCUGGUUAAGCCGCUUGUCUUUCAAACAGGUGAACUGCGGGUUCAAGUCCCGUCGGCACUA